UACAGAGGGUGCGAGCGUUAAUCGGAAUUACUGGGCGUAAAGCGUGCGUAGACGGUUACAUAAGUCGGGUGUGAAAGCCCCGGGCUCAACCUGGGAAUUGCAUUCGAGACUGCGUAGCUAGGGUGCGGAAGAGGGAAGCGGAAUUUCCGGUGUAGCGGUGAAAUGCGUAGAUAUCGGAAGGAGCACCAGUGGCGAAAGCGGCUUCCUGGUCCAGCACCGACGUUCAGGCACGAAAGCGUGGGGAGCAAACAGG
rnacentral:rRNA from 1 species